rnacentral:rRNA from 1 species
ACGGAAGGCAGCAGUGGGGAAUAUUGCACAAUGGGCGAAAGCCUGAUGCAGCGACGCCGCGUGAGUGAAGAAGUUAUUCGUAACGUAAAGCUCUAUCAGCAGGGAAGAAAAUGACGGUACCUGACUAAGAAGCCCCGGCUAACUACGUGCCAGCAGCCGCGGUAAUACGUAGGGGGCAAGCGUUAUCCGGAUUUACUGGGUGUAAAGGGAGCGUAGACGGUCUGGCAAGUCUGAUGUGAAAGGCAGGGGCUCAACUCCUGGACUGCAUUGGAAACUGUCAGUCUUGAGUGUCGGAGAGGUAAGCGGAAUUCCUAGUGUAGCGGUGAAAUGCGUAGAUAUUAGGAGGAACACCAGUGGCGAAGGCGGCUUACUGGACGAUAACUGACGUUGAGGCUCGAAAGCGUGGGGAGCAAACAGGAUUAGAUACCCUGGUA